GUAGUCUUCCGGCACUGGGCUUCCGGGAGGCCAUGUUGCUUUGCGCAGCAUGCCGGGAGGUAUAGUCUUUUGGCAAUGGUUUUCCCGGUGGCCAUUUUACUCUGCAGGGCAUGCCGGGAGGUGUAGUCUUCCCAUCCUGGGCUUCUGGGAGACCAUGUUGCGCCUCUCGAGGCGGCGGGAGGUGCAGGUCUCUGUCAGCGGGGUUCCCAGGAGCCGGCCGCGUUGUGGUCUGUGGCAGGCCUGGAGCUGUAGUUCCAGGUGCCUUCCCUGUCCUGCAGCAGUGGCCUGCUGUGUCUGUUCCUUACUGGACAUGUGCUGCUCAUACGAGAGUCCCGGUAGGUCACUGGAGACAGUGAAAUUUCCCUGUUUUUCUCUGGUACAGGGCAGGAAGCAUAUUCCAUCUCUGGUGUGACCAGGCAGGGUUGUCCCCAGGGGCUGGGGCUGUCCCUCUUGGCAAUGGCAGAGGCAAGGGGAGUGUGAGGGGCUGUGCAGACUCCUGGUAGCCAUAGCUUUGCUAAGGACUGGGGCUAGUUAGGCCUCAGCUAUGAGGAGCGGCGGUACUGGGAGGGCUCCGUGCAGAGCUGUCCUGCUAUGCAGCACAAAGGAAAGUAGAUUCCUCUUUAGAGCUUUGUUGUGCUGCAUAGACCUCUGUUGGUGCUGUAGAGCCCAGAGGAACCCCUUUAUUUUACUCUGAACUCAUCUUUCAGCCUUCCUUUUGUGCCCAAGCUCUGUUUUGGCCCUUUAGUCCAUGUAGGACCCCUCUAGUCCAUUCAGAACUGCUUCUGGAAACCUUUUUUGCGCCCUAGAGCCCUGUGGUGGUUCUCCUGCCCUCUUAGCACCUCUCUUGUCUCCUUGUGUGCGUCAUUCAUCUAGAAAUACAGAACUCAUGUUCCCCUGGAGAUCUACCCGUACCACCCACCAACCCCUUUUUCUAAUUACUCUAGGUACUAUAUAGAGUUGUGAUCAGUGGCGCAGAGUCUAGUUGGAGGCCUGUAGCUAGCGGUGUCCCCCAGGAGUCAGUCCUGGGUCCAGUCUUGUUCAACUUCUUCAUCAAUGACCUGGAUGAAGGCACAGAGUGCACCCUCAGCAAGUUUGCUGACGAUACCAAACUGGGAGGAG
rnacentral:lncRNA from 1 species